CACUCCUACGGGAGGCAGCAGUGGGGAAUAUUGCACAAUGGGCGCAAGCCUGAUGCAGCCAUGCCGCGUGUAUGAAGAAGGCCUUCGGGUUGUAAAGUACUUUCAGCGGGGAGGAAGGCGAUAAGGUUAAUAACCUUGUCGAUUGACGUUACCCGCAGAAGAAGCACCGGCUAACUCCGUGCCAGCAGCCGCGGUAAUACGGAGGGUGCAAGCGUUAAUCGGAAUUACUGGGCGUAAAGCGCACGCAGGCGGUCUGUCAAGUCGGAUGUGAAAUCCCCGGGCUCAACCUGGGAACUGCAUUCGAAACUGGCAGGCUAGAGUCUUGUAGAGGGGGGUAGAAUUCCAGGUGUAGCGGUGAAAUGCGUAGAGAUCUGGAGGAAUACCGGUGGCGAAGGCGGCCCCCUGGACAAAGACUGACGCUCAGGUGCGAAAGCGUGGGGAGCAAACAGGAUUAGAUACCCGUGUAGUCCCAUG
rnacentral:rRNA from 1 species